GACGAACGCUGGCGGCGUGCUUUAUACAUGCAAGUCGAACGAUGAAGUUCCUUCGGGAAUGGAUUAGUGGCGAACGGGUGAGGAACACGUGAGAAACCUGCCUUUCAUUCUGGGAUAACACCGGGAAACCGGCGCUAAUACCGGAUACUCCAUCUUGGCGGCAUCGCCGAGCUGGGAAAAAAUUUUGAUGAAAGAUGGUCUCGCGGCCUAUCAGCUAGUUGGUGAGGUAAAGGCUCACCAAGGCGACGACGGGUAGCCGGCCUGAGAGGGCGACCGGCCACACUGGGACUGAGACACGGCCCAGACUCCUACGGGAGGCAGCAGUAGGGAAUAUUGGGCAAUGGGCGAAAGCCUGACCCAGCGACGCCGCGUGAGGGAUGAAGGUCUUCGGAUUGUAAACCUCUUUCAGUAGGGAAGAAGCGAAAGUGACGGUACCUAAAGAAGAAGCACCGGCUAACUAUGUGCCAGCAGCCGCGGUAAUACAUAGGGUGCAAGCGUUGUCCGGAAUUAUUGGGCGUAAAGAGCUCGUAGGUCGUUUGUCGCGUCGAUUGUGAAAAUCUGAGGCUCAACCUCAGACCUGCAGUCGAUACGGGCAAACUAGAGUGUGGUAGGGGAGACUGGAAUUCCUGGUGUAGCGGUGGAAUGCGCAGAUAUCAGGAGGAACACCAAUGGCGAAGGCAGGUCUCUGGGCCAUAACUGACACUGAGGAGCGAAAGUGCGGGGAGCGAACAGGAUUAGAUACCCUGGUAGUCCGCACCGUAAACGGUGGGCACUAGUUGUGGGAACCUUCCACGGUUUCCGCGACGCAGCAAACGCAUUAAGUGCCCCGCCUGGGGAGUACGAUCGCAAGAUUAAAACUCAAAGGAAUUGACGGGGCCCCGCACAAGCAGCGGAGCAUGCGGCUUAAUUCGACGCAACGCGAAGAACCUUACCAAGGCUUGACAUAUAGUGAAAAGUGGCAGAGAUGUCA
rnacentral:rRNA from 1 species